rfam:Gossypium raimondii Chr06_contig_696, whole genome shotgun sequence.
CAGACAUCAUGCAUUUUCUAAUUAACUCCUUGAAUCCCUCCCAUGCUUCAUAUAAUGUUUCAUUCCCCGACUAUUGAAAGGACAUAAUAUCAUUCCUUGAUUUG